rnacentral:rRNA from 1 species
UAGGGAAUAUUAGUAAUGGGCGAAAGCCUGAACUAGCAAUGCCGCGUGUGCAAAGAAGGCCUUCGGGUUGUAAAGCACUUUUUGAGAGGAUGAGGAAGGACGGUACUCUCAGAAUAAGUCUCGGCUAACUACGUGCCAGCAGCCGCGGUAACACGUAGGAGGCGAACGUUAUCCGGAUUUACUGGGCGUAAAGCGCGUGUAGGUGGUUUGGUAAGUAGGGCGUGAAAGCUCCUGGCUCAACUGGGAGAGGCCGUUCUAAACUGCCGAACUAGAGGAUGGUAGAGGGAGGUGGAAUUCCGGGUGUAGCGGUGGAAUGCGCAGAUAUCCGGAGGAGCACCAGUGGCGAAAGCGGCCUCCUGGACCAUUCCUGACACUCAGACGCGAAAGCUAGGGUAGCAAACGG